AAUCAAGAAGCAAGAAGAGGAUGUCGGCUGUGCGAUCAAUUAGAACAGCACAUUAUACACUGGUUAUACCCAGGGGUUACGGCCAUCGCUACAGCUCAGAUACAAGAACAGGAGUGCUCCAGAGUCGGCAACAAACAGCUUACCCAAUCAGCUAAUCCAACUAGGAAAUACAGGCGGUCCCGAGACACGUGGGACGCCACGUGGAACGUCGAAUAAGCAAGAGACUCAGACACCUUUAGAGGUUUCCGAGAUCAACUUGAAUACAGCGCCACUGCCUGCGACUGAUCCCCCCAUAACAGUACGUCAUCAACAGAUCCCCCAUAACAGUGCACCUGCGCACUGAGGAAGAGAGAGAAAGGAGGAGAAAGAAUCCGCAAAAGCAAGCAGAGGACGGCACAGCAG